UCUCCAUCGCUGCAGCCACCU
rnacentral:miRNA from 1 species